rnacentral:misc_RNA from 1 species
UUGUUCCUGCGCAGGGAUGCCAACAAGCAGAAGGGGCCGGCGAGGGAGCAGUGGCACAGACGACCGUCGGUUGUGGAAGUAGGAGGUCAACGGGCGGCGUCGAGAUCACCGGCGAGCGCGGUGAUAGAUGGCGGUGUCAGACGGUGGCAAUCAGAGAAGCAGUGGGGCAGCACAACAGCAAGGAAUUUCAGUAGCGGCAUCGGGGCACGAGGCAGAGCCGAGUCAGAGCGAGAAAUCAACUGUGGCGCGAUAGGAAACUACGGGGCGUACUUGCCAAUGGCAGAAGGGCACGGAGGAGCCCAGACGACGGCGAAAAUGGCGAGCGACUGUGCAGCAGCCUGA